rnacentral:tRNA from 1 species
CAGGGGCCUGACAGCACAUUAGUGUGUGUGAUGGGGGGAAUGCCGUGGAGUCAGGCAGAACCAGGAUGUGGUCAGUAGAAGACCUAUCCACAGGCGGGGGGAACGGGAAGAUUGAACUGGUUGAGCUCUGAAAUCGGGAAGUGCUUGGGACAAAAGGACAGUGGAAAGAACAUGGGGACUUUGCUCCAAGACCCACAGUUCCCCUCUGUUUCUGAGCACUGCACUUCAUUGUCAUCCUCCAUUCCACUGGGCGCCCCAGGCAGGACGGUGGCCUUGUCCCCACGGGGUUCGCCAUGCCCAGCGUGCCAUGGACUCCACACUAAUCACUCUCACAGCUGCUUGGCACUGCCUCUUUCAUGACGGCCUUUGAAACCCAGGUGCCUGAAAAAGCAGAAAGAAUUCUGUCUGAAAACAUCUUUCAUCUGCCUAUGUUUGCUGUGGUCAUCGCACAGCUAGAAGCAAUGCUCAAGCCUUUGGAAACUAAAACGUACCUUCCCGAAAUGAUGACUUGAUCAAGUUACACAGAGUUUUGAAAGUGAGAGGCCUGGAUUGAAAUUCCAGCUCUGUCACCAGGGGCAAUUUUCAUUAUUCAUUCCGCAUAAAGACCAAAAUGCAAGGUGCAAAAUCAUCUAAAUAGUUAUCCUCAAAUAAUUGGAUAACAAUCAAACAUUUUUUUAAAGUAUAAUUUAAGAAUCAAAGGAUUCUUCAAUAGGAUAAAGCAUUCCUAUUUUGAAUCAAAAAUCAGCACUGAUAAAGUAAGUUCAAAAUUAGGAACAGGGACUUCCCUGGCAGUCUAGUGGUUAAGAUUUUGUGUUUCCAAUGCAGGAGGUUCAGAUUCAAUCCCUGAUCAGGGAACUAAAAGCCUGCAUACUUCGAGGUGAAGCCAAAAAAUAAAUAAAAAAUAAAAGUAAAAAACA